GAAUCAACGCUGGCGGCGUGCCUAACACAUGCAAGUCGAACGCGAGAGGGGCUUCGGCCCCGAUUGAGUGGCGAACGGGUGAGUAACGCGUGGGUGACCUACCUUCGAGUGGGGGAUAACGUCCCGAAAGGGACGCUAAUACCGCAUAACAUCCUGCUUUUGAAUGGGUGGAGAUCAAAGCCGGGGAUCGCAAGACCUGGCGCUUGAUGAGGGGCCCGCGUCUGAUUAGCAGUUGGUGAGGUAACGGCCCACCAAGGCAACGAUCAGUAUCCGGCCUGAGAGGGCGGACGGACACACUGGGACUGAGACACGGCCCACGACUCCUACGGGAGGCAGCAGUGGGGAAUUGUUCGCAAUGGGCGCAAGCCUGACGACGCAACGCCGCGUGGAGGAUGAAGGUC
rnacentral:rRNA from 1 species